GAAAAAGAAAAUUGAAACAGGAAAAAGAAAAAGUUUCCUUUCCUCGUUGGAAUUGCUAGAGAGAGAGGCAAUCAUAAGUUAAAGAAAGAACGUUUAUAUCUAACAAAACCAGUUCAACUAGCCGAGGGAUCUCUCCCUCUCUCACCUACGCACAGAGAGAGCAAUGGCUUCCUCUCCCUCUUUACUCUUUGCGGCCGCCGUAAUCACCCUCACUUUGCUCUUCGCAUAUUCCGUCAAAUUACCAUUUCACCCUCGGGACGUCCUCCCUAUCUUGCCCAGACAGGUUUCAUGGCCAAUCCUCAACUCUCUGCACAGUGCGGUCGAUCUCUUGCCCACUUUCGUGGGGUCAGCUUCGUCCCCAAAAGACAGUUUGGAGUGGAAAGGUGCGUGCUUUUACCAGAACACAGCUUGGAUGGAGUUCCACAACAAGCGUGGCAGCGAAUUUGGUGGCGGAACUCUUCAUAUCAAGGUCUAGACGAACUGAAAUUUCUUGUUCUGUUGGCCUGUUUUCUUUCAUUUUCGAACUGGGUUUGUGCAAAUUUUGAGUUUUGAGUAUGUGGGUUAAUGGGAAUUAAAUUAUGUUAAACUUGUUUCAGUGACCUUAUAUUUCUUCUGCUCGGUUUUCAGCUGGGUUUGUGUAACUUUUUUAAGUUUUGGUCAUUAGGAUACUCAGAUUAAUUUUCUCUUCAAAAAUUGUCGAUAAAUUUGAAGGUUUUAUUGGCUAGUUUGAUUAUGAUGGUCUAUACGAGGGUUGGUUUUCAGUUUGUUUCUAGGUGAUUUAGCGGAAAUUGGAGGUUUGUGGGAUUGGAGUUGUGGAAUUUACUUGCUGUUUGACUGCUGGAUAUUAAGUUGUUAAUUACAUUUCCGGUUUGAGCCUCUCUGGGGUUUCUUUUGAUUGUUCUGUGGAUUUUAUGAUCCAAAACAUAUCGUUUUGGCUUAAUUUUCUAGAAUAUAUGUUUCAUUAAUGUUGUACUUAUGAAUUUGAACCUCUUGUUUUUGGUUGAUCCCUGUAAAAAAUAAAAUACCUAAUUAUGGCUAUUUGUGAUCUUACAUUUACAUUAGAUACUGAGUUCCUAUGCUUAGAAAAUCUGGGCCAUUCAUCAGAGUUUUCGUACUCUUAUUACAAUAUUUUAAAAUUGUAUCUAUGUUUGUAUCCAGGUUAAUAAGGCUCAAAGUUGGACAUGUAUGGAUAUUUAUGUCUUUGCGACUCCAUACACUGUCACUUGGGAUUACUAUUUCCUGUCUGGGGAGCAUACACUUGAGUUUAAAGAGUGGCAAGGAAAAGCCGAGUUUGAAUAUGUAAGUUACCACUUUCUAGUAUUCAGAUAUUACUUGAUAUUCCAAUUUCCUUUUAAAGGAAAAUUUGGGUUUAAUUUUGUCUUUAAUGUUACCCAAUCAGGUGAAAAGCAGGGGAGUUUCUAUUUUCCUCAUGCAAGCAGGGAUGCUAGGCACCUUUCAAGCAUUGUGGGAUGUCUUUCCCUUGUUUACAAAUACUGAAUGGGGUGAGAACUCUAAUAUUGGGUUUCUUAAGAAGCACAUGGGUGCUUCCUUUGAUCAACGUCCUCAACCUUGGGUCACAAAUAUUAGCGUAGAUGAUAUUCACUCUGGAGAUUUCCUAGCAAUAUCUAAGAUUCGUGGGUGGUGGGGUGGAUUUGAAACACUAGCGAAGUGGGUCAGUGGAGCUUAUGCUGGUCAUUCUGCUGUUUGUUUAAGGGAUUAUGAAGGAAAUCUUUGGGUUGGUGAAUCAGGAUAUGAAAACGAGAAGGUGAGCUGCAAAGUUUGUAAAAUACUAUACGGUAUUGUACAUUUGGUUUGGAGGUUCUGUUUUGCUUGUGUGUGAUUUGCAUGGAAACUUUUUUUGUUUUUUUGUUUUUUAACAAUUUACUUCCAGUUUUCUGUAUGGUCAGGCAGCAUUGCCAGGUCAAAGAGUAUUAAUUUUAAUUAUUAUUAAAUUAGGAUAAGUGAUGCUAUAACUAUGUCUUUUGCCUUUUGGCUUUGGUUCGAUUGGCAAUGCUGGGAUGAGAUGGGUCCUAAGCACCAACGAAUAUGAAACAACAUUAAAUUCUCUAUUUCUCUCUAUUUCUCUCUCUCUAUCUCUCUCUCUCUCUCUCUCUCUCUCUCUCUCUCUCUCUCUCUCUCUCUCUCUCUCUCUCUAUAUAUAUAUAUAUAUAUAUGUUUUUAUGUGUAUAUAUAUGUAUGUCUUUAUUUGUAUAUGCCUAUGUAUAUAAUAAAAUAUGUUGUGCUUUUUUCCUUUCGUGUUCUAGGGAGAAAGUAUCAUUGCUGUGCUGCCAUGGGAUGAGUGGUGGGAGUUUGAGCUGAAUAAAGAUGAUUCCAAUCCCCAUAUUGCAUUGCUUCCCUUGCAUCCUGAUAUACGAGCAAAGUUUAGUGAGACUGCUGCCUGGGAGUAUGCAAGGAGCAUGGAAGGCCAGUCAUUUGGUUAUCAUAACGUGAUAUUCAGCUGGAUAGAUACUAUAAAAGACAACUAUCCACCCCCUGUGGAUGCUCACAUGGUAUCAUGUUAUUAGUACAUUUAAGAUUUCUAUAUCAGACUGUUUACAGUAUUAGUAAAUCUAAAUUAAUUUCCUUAUUUUUUUUCUUUUGGUAUGAUGAUUUAGUUAGUAUUGAACUUGGUGGUUUCCAUUAUCUGUUUGGAUUGAGGCCUGGGUUCUAUAGAGGACUUAAAAAACUACCUGUUAGGUGCUUUACCCCAAUUAUUUUCUUUAUGGUUUAUAACUUCUGGCUUUCAAACAACCACUUUAUAAACGUGUGGGUACAGAUUAAUUUGAAUCAAGGUGCUGAUGUAGAACAGCCCGUAGGUAUUAGAGUAAACACUUAAGCAAUAGAACAGAGAAGAAAUAAGAGAUCGAGGUGAAGAAAUAGAGAUCGUAGAGACGAAGGGAAAGGGAAGGAAUCAGAGAGUUUAAAGUGAGGAAAUUUAUCAUACAUCAAGUCUCCCUUAAAAGAUUACAAACAGCUCUAUUUAUAGAGGCAAAACCCUUUUUAGCCUAGGAAAAGGAAAAGUAAACUUUAAGAAAUAGGAAAGCAAAUUAACUAAUAAGAGAUCCUUCAACAAAAAGGAAUCCUUAACUGAAUUAGGAAAACUAAUCCAAGUAGAAUUAGGAAAACUAAUAAUAUGCAUUAUGCAUAAGGUGCCAUGCAGCUAAUAUAUGAUUGCUUCGUAGUGGCCUAAAAGGGUCCACAAUGGAUGAUGAUCAGUGGAUGUUUACAACUGGAAAAGAAGAUAGAAAGAAAUGUUUUCUUUAGUUUCAUAGUUAGAUUGGUUAGCCAACUAAGAGAAUAUAGUUAAGUCCUGCUAUCUCCCUCUCUCAGACAUGUCUUACGUGUGAAUGCUUCUAUGAGCUUGAUGAGGUUUUCUUAUUCAUUGGUCCUUAUUCUUAGCUCUAUGGUUAUGUAGGUUGCUUCUGUUAUGACAGUUUGGAAUAACAUACAGCCUGCAUAUGCUGCGAACAUGUGGAAUGAAGCCUUGAACAAGAGACUUGGAACACAGGUGUUGUGAAACGUUUUCCUUGCAUUGCAAUCCUGUGGCUAUCAUGGAACUCUCUCUUUAAAAAAUAUGUUUUAUUGCCACAAGGGCAUCAGAUUUUUGGAGUAAAUGAUAAAUCAGCAUUCCUUCAGUUAGAAAUAUCAACCGAUCAAGAUUUUUACUUUUGGUUAGAAGUUAAGCAAUUAGUCAAUAUCAUCUUUGAAAUUCAUUGUGCCAUUUUUAUCGUUCUGAGUUUCUGAUGUACCCUUUGUAUUUCAUGCAGAACCUUAGUCUUCCAGAGAUUCUAGUUGAAGUUGAAAAGAGAGGAUCAUCUUUUGACGAACUGCUGACACUUCCCGAACAGGAUUAUUGGCUAUACAGUGAUGGGAAGUCAACAUCGAGUGUGGCCUUCAUUCUUGAAAUGUAUAAACAGGCAGGACUGUUUGAUCCAAUUGCUAGCUCUAUCCAAGUCACUGAAUUUACGGUGAGUUUAUCCAGAACAAAAUUCAAUAUCUGUUUGCUUUAGGAUAAACGGGGCUGAGUUGAUGCUAGUUCUAGGGAGACACAAGAUCAAUGAUGACUGACCUCUUUUAUUCCCUUUUCAAUAAUAAUUGAUAUAAGAUUAUAGUUGAGCCUUUUUAAUUUUAAAUAAUAGAAAGUUUAGUGACAUUUGAAAAAGGAAAGGAAUUAGAUUGUUGAGGUUCAUGUAGCUUCCCAUUCAAAACGUUAUCCAUUGGGGUGCUAUGCAAAUUAGUUGUUUCAUAAGGAGUUUAUAUGUUCGUUCUCAUGUAUUUAACUUUAUUUGCCAUAAAUGCAGAUAAAAGAUGCUUACAUGCUGAAAUUCUUUGAAAAUAAUUCAUGCCGCCUGCCAAAGUGGUGCAAUGACGGGGACACCGUGAAGCUUCCUUUCUGUCAGAUUAAAGGGAAGUAUCGAAUGGAACUACCUGAAUACAACAGCAUGGAACCAUACUCCCAUAUGAAUGAAAGGUGCGAAUCACUGCCCCAAAAGUACUCCAGAUCACGGAAUUGCUAAGUCCUCAAUUCAUUGCUCUUACAAAUUUGUUAGGCCUAUGGUUGAUGUCAUACCAGUUUCUUCUGCUUUUAGUGUAGUUCUAUUGUUGGAUACAAAUGAAUGAAAGAUGGCGAAGCUGUAAAUAUUUUUGGUGGUCAGGUACGAAAGGAGGGCAGUGUUAGUGUUUCAAUUGUUGUACAAUGUGCAUGAUAAAAGGAAUAUGAAUUGUAAUGCAUGUCUUUCUUUUCCACAAUGUAUUUUUUUUCUUAUUCUUUUAUAAUGUCAUUCCAAAUUGAUUGAAGUGUUCCCUAGUCUCAGAAAGGAGUUGGGAACAACAUAUUAGUUUUUUUAUGUUCACAUAAAUCUCUCAGUUUUAUCUCUCACUCUAGGUUAUCUCACAAAUUGCUGGUUCGUCCUUACUACUCUAUCAAAGAUGCAAGUAUGACUUGUAAGUUGUGAUAUAAUGCAAACUGCAACCAUUUAUGUUAACAAGAUAUUUUUUGUAUGCGUGUAUACAUUUGACAAAACAAAAGACAAGUGUCGAGUCGAGUAAGGUGGCCCAAGUUCAGG
rnacentral:lncRNA from 1 species